GACGAGCCCACCAACGUAUUCGAUACUGGCGUAAGGUAGCGUAGGCUGUGCAGAAAGUUAGGAUGUGAAAGCCCUCGGCUCAACCGAGGAAUUGCGUCCAAAACUACUGUGCUGGAGGGAGGCAGAGGUGAGCGGAACUAAUGGUGGAGCGGUGAAAUGCGUUGAUAUCAUUAGGAACACCAGUGGCGAAGGCGGCUCACUGGGCCUCUCCUGACGCUGAUGCACGAAAGCC
rnacentral:rRNA from 1 species